UACCUGCAUGCAUUUCAAAUAAAGUAAACUCAUAACCACUUGAAUUUUAAGUGUUUGUGGAAUAAUUAAUUCUGUCGUCAUACAAGCUCUUCAAACUAGAUAAUAUAGGACUAACAUUUAGUGCUUCUUUGGGAUUGUGGAAUAGAUUCUCAAAAAAUCAUUCAUUUGAUAAUCUACUCCCAUGGAUUAAGUCCAAGAGAACAAUGCAAAUUAAAUAUGUUUGAUAUACUGUACAUCCUCGAUUAAGUGAUAUUAUUUGACAUCCUCGAUUAAGUGAUAUUAUUUGAUAAUCCACUGCAAUCUCAUAUGUGCACUUAAUUAAUUUCAUAUUCAAAUUUAAUAACUAUGAGUCACAUAGUUGUAUUAUCCAGAAAGGCUCGUAUCAGGAGAGAAUUUUGGCAGUUAUGGAUGAUGGAAAACAAACACAAUACGAGCAUAGGCGUGGUUAA
rnacentral:lncRNA from 1 species